CCACGUUCUCUCCCAGCAACUAUUUCUCUAUCUCUGUCUAACACGGUUUUCUCACAAUAACAGUUUUAUCUCUCACACGCACAGCACGACACGACACGGUUCUCUCAGAAUAUAUCUGAAGCAACGAUAACAACUUCUCUCCAUCUAUUUAUGCAUAAGGAUGCGAUUGUUUUCGAUUAUUGAAGCGGGUAGAAGAUAUCAAGAGAAGAAGAGCGCGAGACCAGAUAUGAGAGCGACAACAUGAACGAUAUAUCUGGUGAUGAUCAAGAUGCCAAACCGUCAAGGGAUAAGAGAUCUACCAGUCAUGGAUAAGGCACAUUGCGAUUCGAAGUCCCGUCGUCUUUGUAUUCCCGUAGCACAGCCUCCUCAUCUCUCCAAUUUUGAGAUCGCGAAAAUGUGUGGCCACAUUUGCAAAAGAAACCCAUUUCUUAAAGUUGAUAGUUGUUAUUCGUAUCAUCAAAAUAUGAUUGCGUGUAUUUCUUCUGGUAUGUUAUUCUAGAUUUGGAUGUAUAACUAUAGUUAACAAAGGUGGAGCAAGAUAAGGAGGCAAGAGCGAUUGGGGCAGAGGUCGAUGCAGCAGUGAAGUGGAAUGUUUGGAGAUACACACAAGGUAGAAAAGCCUAAACUGUGAACUAUGAUUAAUCUCUAAUUUUAGUCGUCUAGCUGUUUAAUUUUGGCUUAGUGCACAUUUAUCUGAAAGUAAAAGAUCUAGAUGUGAAUAGUGUUUUGUAAGAUUAAGAGAAACACAUAACUGAAGAAGCUCAUGAAUCAUUUCUAUGACCCUCAAUUAGUUGAUUUGAACUCAAACAAUUGUUUCAAUGGAUUUAAUUGUACCUUGCAAUUUAUAAGUGAAGUUCUUGCAUGAACAUGAGGGAAUAUUUCUAUGUCUGUCCUUUUGAUUUUUUUGUUUCUUUAAAAUGUUCAUUGUAUGAUAAAGGAAAACAUAUAUUAGAAAGUGUUGUAUGUAGGCACAUUAUUUAAGUAGUUAAACUGUUGUGUUGUGCAAUUUUGUAUCAAGCAAUAUCUUCAAGUUGCGAAAGAAUUUACUUUAGUGCAUAUCCUACAAGAAAAUGAAUAUUAGGUGUUGUCGAGGAGGGGAAAUUAUUAUUAAUUUGUAAGCAGUCUAUUUGAAAAUAAUAAACAAUCGUAUAGCUUGAAGAGGCAUAGGCUCUAAGCUUUCGAGUUUAUUACGAUCAAUCUAGCUGAAUUUGGUUUACUGAUAGAGAAAUUAAGGAAAGUUUGGUAAUCAGAGGAGGUUCGAUCGAGCAUGGGCCUUAACAUGUGGGUGGCGCCACUAGGAUGAUGAUGGAUAGGGAGAGGUGGUGGUGGAGGAUGAAUUUGCCGAGCUCCACCAGCUGGCCCAUUCUUGGAGAUGGGUAGAGGACUAUCAUCUUCAACUUCACUUAAUUCAUCUCAUGCAUGCUACUAAUCAAGAUCACUACUGCUCAAUGUUUGAAGACAAUAAUGACCACAAUUUCACCUACCUUGGCAUAUAAAAAUAUACCAGAAAUAUGUUAGUUAGCUUCUUCAUAGCAGACUCAGUUAGAGUAGCAAACCAUUUUAAUGAGGUGGCAAGAUUAGUUAAAAGAUAUUUUAACUUAAAUGUAGAUGCAGUAUUGUAGCUCUAUAAAUAGAGCAUUAUCAAGAUGAAUAAAGUAAUCUCAUUUUCAUUCUUUA